GCCGCGGCCUCUGAGCUGGGAUGAGCCGUGCUCCCGGUGGAAGCAAGGGAGCCCAGCCGGAGCCAUGGCCAGUACAGUGGUAGCAGUUGGACUGACCAUUGCUGCUGCAGGAUUUGCAGGCCGUUACGUUUUGCAAGCCAUGAAGCAUAUGGAGCCUCAAGUAAAACAAGUUUUUCAAAGCCUACCAAAAUCUGCCUUCAGUGGUGGCUAUUAUAGAGGUGGGUUUGAACCCAAAAUGACAAAACGGGAAGCAGCAUUAAUACUAGGUGUAAGCCCUACUGCCAAUAAAGGGAAAAUAAGAGAUGCUCAUCGACGAAUUAUGCUUUUAAAUCAUCCUGACAAAGGUAAGAUCUCCUUAUAUAGCAGCCAAAAUCAAUGAAGCUAAAGAUUUACUAGAAGGUCAAGCUAAAAAAUGAAGUAAAUGUAUGAUGAAUUUUAAGUUCGUAUUAGUUUAUGUAUAUGAGUACUAAGUUUUUAUAAUAAAAUGCCUCAGAGCUACAAUUUUAAAAAAUGAUUUAGCACAAGCUAAAUCUCAAAGCCUUGGUAUAAUUUUCUUGUUUAAAUUUGGGGAUUUUAAAUCAGAUUAUAGUUUAGAAUAUUUGCGUAUUAAUUAUGGGCAAGCACACACCUUCUGAAUAGAAAUAUUGUUCAUUACUCAUUUAGCAGAUAAUUUGGGACCUAUGUCUACUUUUCAAGGCAAAGUGAAGAUGACAGUCCUUGCUCUCAGGGAGCCCCCACUUUAAUGGGAGACUGAUAAACUGGUAAUUAGACUGUGAUAAAUAGUAUGAUGGAAAUUAGCUUAAGCUGUUUAAGUAGGGACUCUUCUUAUUCGGUGGAAAGGCUGUUCCAGGUACAGGCAACUGGCCUGGCAACUUGGAUACUUGGAACCUUGUAUUUAAAAGUGAAUUUAACCACAACUGAGACCUAAGAAAUUGACCUAGGGGUGUGUGUGUGUGUGUAUUCUAUGUACAUAUAAACCAUUUUUAUUUCAUGCAUUAAAAAUAGUAUGAUAAAGAUUUCAGAGUACAGGUCUGGUACAAUCACAGUUCAUUGCAGCCUCAACCUCCUGGGUUUAAGCAGUCCUCCCGCCUCAGCCUCCCAAAGUACUGGGAUUACAGGCAUGAGUAUUUACAUUGUAUUCAGCUAGCCCCUUAAAGGUAAUGACCAUUUAUAAAUUAUUCCUUCAGUUGGCUAUUUCUUGACAUAAUCAAACUUCUGCAAUUGUUAUGAUUAAGCUUAAACCCUGUUAGCAAAACUGAAAACUGAAAUGUUCUCAAUAUCAACAUAUUUAAUUUGGACUCUUUAGAAUUUAUACACUAAUAAAUUUAAAUGAUGUUUAAA
rnacentral:lncRNA from 1 species